CCUGGGCUACACACGUGCUACAAUGGCGGUACAAAGGGUCGCGAAACCCGCGAAGGGAGCCAAUCCCAAAAAAGCCGCUCUCAGUUCGGAUUGCAGGCUGCAACUCGCCUGCAUGAAGCCGGAAUCGCUAGUAAUCGCGGAUCAGCAUGCCGCGGUGAAUACGUUCCCGGGCCUU
rnacentral:rRNA from 1 species